rnacentral:misc_RNA from 1 species
GAUGAAGAACGCAGCGAAAUGCGAUACUUGGUGUGAAUUGCAGAAUCCCGUGAACCAUCGAGUCUUUGAACGCAAGUUGCGCCCGAAGCCAUCAGGUUGAGGGCACGUCUGCCUGGGCGUCACAUAUCGUUGCCCAAUGCCUAUUGCAGUGCAAUAGGAAUUUCUAGGGCGAAUGAUGGCUUCCCGUGAGCGUUGUUGCCUCGCGGUUGGUUGAAAAUCGAGUCCUUGGUAGGGUGUGCCAUGGUAGAUGGUGGUCGAGUUAGAACGAUACCGAUCAUGUGCAUGCUCCCCAAAAUAUGGCCUCUAUGACCCACACGCGUCUUUUGACGCUCAUGACGAGACCUCAGGUCAGGCGGGGCUACCCGCUGAAUUUAAGCAUAUCAAUAAGCGGGGGA